UCCAGCAGCCAUAUCACCCUGCAACUCCCAACUGGCAGCCCACUGAAGCUAAGCAUGUGUGAGCCUGGUCAGUACCUGGCUGGGAGACCUCCUUGGAAAAACUAAGGUUGCUGCUGGAA
ensembl:rRNA 5S_rRNA 5S ribosomal RNA